UGGAAACACGUGGAAGCCGUGGAUGCUAGCAGUUUGUGAAAAGGAACGUAAGGUUUUGUGCAUGGGAGGUGGACAGGCUAUCCCGCAUCUUGAAAAGUGGGUCGCUAUUUAUGACAAGCAAGUCCUACCCCUUCUCACCCUCGAAACCGUUAGAUUUCUUAACGGUAUCCCGAGACCUUUACCAAAAUGACAAAAGACUGUCAGCGUGGUAAAAGAAUGUUCCGCGGCAACUCUAAAGAAGAUAGCGCUGGA